AACGAACGCUGGCGGCAUGCCUAACACAUGCAAGUCGAACGAGACCUUCGGGUCUAGUGGCGCACGGGUGCGUAACGCGUGGGAACCUGCCCUUGGGUUCGUAAUACCUCCCCGAAAGGGGUGCUAAUACCGGAUAGUGUCUUCGGACCAAAGAUUUAUCGCCUUUGGAUGGGCCCGCGUUGGAUUAGCUAGUUGGUAGGGUAAAAGCCUACCAAGGCGACGAUCCAUAGCUGGUCUGAGAGGAUGAUCAGCCACACUGGGACUGAGACACGGCCCAGACUCCUACGGGAGGCAGCAGUGGGGAAUAUUGGACAAUGGGCGAAAGCCUGAUCCAGCAAUGCCGCGUGAGUGAUGAAGGCCUUAGGGUUGUAAAGCUCUUUUACCCGGGAUGAUAAUGACAGUACCGGGAGAAUAAGCUCCGGCUAACUCCGUG
rnacentral:rRNA from 1 species